rnacentral:misc_RNA from 1 species
AGGAGAGAAUUUUGCCGAGAUCGCUGGUCGGCGUCGCAAGCACACGAACUCCCUUCCCCGCCAUCGUCAGCACGCCGACUGUGUUCUCCGGAUUCGACUGAGUCUUGGCCCCGCAGAUGAGAUUGACGGCGUCAGCCUGGGCCUGGAAUCGAGUAGGCGAGUAGUCACCGUUGCGCAUCCACUCCGAGUUGUCGAUGCAGAUCAUCGUGGCCUCGAGAACCAUGGCGGCUGGAGGGGAUCGAGAUCGGGAGGCGGUGGUGAUCGGUUUGCUUAGGAGUUGAG